rnacentral:misc_RNA from 1 species
UUUAACGAAGGUUUUAAAGAGGUUAAAAUAUUUACGUGUAGAUUUUUUAAAUAGAGUGUUUUUAAAUUGUUGAAUGAAAAGAAAAGUUAAAUUUUGAGAGUUGAACGUAUAUAUUACGUAGUAGUUUUUGAGAAUGAUUUUGUUUAGUUUUUAUAUGAAGAUAUUUUUUUUUUUACGAUAGGUUUUAAAUCGUUUUAAAUAUUC